rnacentral:rRNA from 1 species
GACGAACGCUGGCGGCGUGCUUAACACAUGCAAGUCGAGCGAUGAACCUUUCAUGAAUUUUUCGGAAUGAUUGGAAGAGGAUUAGCGGCGGACGGGUGAGUAACGCGUGAGCAACCUGCCUUAAACAACGGGAUAGCCUCGGGAAACCGGGAUUAAUACCGUAUGAGACCCCGCCUUCACAUGAAGAAGAGGUUAAAGAUUUAUCGGUUUAAGAUGGGCUCGCGUCUGAUUAGCUAGUUGGUGAGAUAAAAGCCCACCAAGGUAACGAUCAGUAACCGGCUUGAGAGAGUGAACGGUCACACUGGAACUGAGACACGGUCCAAACUCCUACGGGAGGCAGCAGUGGGGAAUAUUGCACAAUGGGGGAAACCCUGAUGCAGCGACGCCGCGUGAGCGAUGAAGGAAUUCGUUUCGUAAAGCUCUGUCCAAGGGGAAGAUAAUGACAGUACCCUUGGAGGAAGCCCCGGCUAAAUACGUGCCAGCCGCCGCUGUAA